rnacentral:rRNA from 1 species
CCCUUAGAUGUUCUGGGCGGCCCGCGCACUACAAUGGCGUGUGCAGCGAGUGCCGAAGUAGAGUUUUCCGAGGUAUUCUUGCAAUGCUCGUUUUGAUGGGGAUAGACCCUUGCAACUGUUGGUUUUGAACGAGGAAUUCCUUGUAAGCAUGGUUUAUCAUCCGACGCUGAAUGCGUCCCUGCCCUUUGUACACACCGCCCGUCGCUCCUACCGAUGAGUCGUCCGGUGAAGUUCGUAGACCUCGUGAUCGCGGAUCACUGGGGGAAGCAAAAUGAACCUCGCUGUUUAGAGGAAGGAGAAGUCGUAACA